rnacentral:rRNA from 1 species
CAUGUCUUUUUGAAUAUAAUUUAAAGUCUAAUCUGCCCACUGAGGAAUUUAAAUGGCCGCAGUAUUUUGACUGUGCUAAGGUAGCAUAAUCAAUAGUUUCUUAAUUAGAAGCUGGAAUGAAUGAUUGGAUGAGAUAAAAACUGUCUCAAUUUUAAUAAUUAAAAUUUUAUUUUUAAGUAAAAAAGCUUAAAUAUUUUUAAAAGACGAGAAGACCCUAUAGAGUUUUAUAUUUUAUAAUAAAUUAAAUUAUUAUUUUAAUAUUUUAUUUAUUUUAAAAUAUUUUAUUGGGGUGAUAGAAAAAUUUAAUUAACUUUUUUUAUAUAAUACCAUAGAUUUAUGAAUAAAUGAUCCAUUAAUUAUGAUUAAAAGAUUAAAUUACCUUAGGGAUAACAGCGUAAUUUUUUUUAAGAGUUCUAAUCGAAAAAGAAGAUUGCGACCUCGAUGUUGGAUUAAAGUUAAGUUUUGGUGUAGAAGCUAAAAUUUUAAGUCUGUUCGACUUUUAAAACUUUACAUGAUCUGAGU